UACGUAGGGAGCGAGCGUUGUCCGGAAUUAUUGGGCGUAAAGCGCGCGUAGGCGGCCCGAUCAGUCCGCUCUGAAAGUCAAAGGCUCAACCUUUGAAAGCGGGUGGAUACUGUCGGGCUAGAGUACGGAAGAGGCGAGUGGAAUUCCUGGUGUAGCGGUGGAAUGCGCAGAUAUCAGGAGGAACACCAAUAGCGAAGGCAGCUCGCUGGGACGUUACUGACGCUAAGGCGCGAAAGCGUGGGGAGCGAACAGG
rnacentral:rRNA from 1 species